GUCGGUGAGUUGCUACGAUUUGUUUCUAUAAAUAGGUGGGUAAUCGAUACAAUGGUUUUCAGUAAUCCCCUCCAUCUCUACUCCCUGUUUUCUGUUCUCCUUCUCCGUCUAACUUCCGGCGACCGGAAAGUGAUUGAAGUUCUGAAAAAUGUCGGAGAAGAAAGCAUCUGAUGGGUCGUCUUUUUCCUUCACUUCUGAUCUCUUUGGGACCAGAGACACUUCUGAUCUCUCUUCUACUCACAUUUUUGGCCCUAUAUACUCAUCUUCUUUCAAGGCCUCCCAGCACUCCGAAGUCGGUGGCAAAUCAAAAGCUUUUUCAUGCUCCCUCAAAACUGAAGGAACUUCGGAAUAUAAGGAAUGCAAGAAUCAGAGCACAUCAAGCAGAGAAAUGGAUUCGUUUUAUCAGGAACAGAGAACAGACCCAUGUCAUCUAAGUUCUUCAAUUUACUAUGGUGGUCGGGAUGUCUAUACCCAAAACCCUGGAACUGGAUUCAACUCCUCUCUAAAGAGAGAUGGGGGAGAGGACGAUUCUGGUGGUGCUUCCAGAGGAAAUUGGUGGCAAGGGUCUCUGUACUACUGAGAAUCUCACCCACCAUUAAGGUCUUACUUUCCAUGACAGUUCUCUUCAAACCCUUCAAACAACAUUUACAAAUCCUUUGGUCAACUGCAAAUAUUAAGCUCAAAAUGUGCAUGAUACCAUACUAUUACUAUAAAUAUAGUAUAUGGAGAUGAUCAAUGAUAGAGGUUUAAAUUUUUAUACAGGAUGAUAUUGUAGUAUGCAGCAAAUAUGAAGGACAUGUUAUUGCUUAUUAUUAAAUCAUCCAUUAAAGAACUAGUCAUGGUUAUCAAGUUUGAAGCAUGUAUAUAAAAUAUAUUUGGUAAGAAUGGAUAUGAAGAGAAGGGAAUCUAGAACAGUUUGGGCAUAGGAUAUAGUCUUAUCCUUAUCUUCAUGUGCUGCUCAUCUUUUCUUAUACUUUAAUGACCUUAUCCAACAAAUAAAUUCUUAGAUGUUUCUUCUAUUGGUGAAAA